rnacentral:rRNA from 1 species
UACGGAGGGUGCAAACGUUGCUCGGAAUCAUUGGGCGUAAAGCGCACGUAGGCGGCCUGUUAAGUCGGGUGUGAAAGCCCUGGGCUCAACCCAGGAAGUGCACUCGAAACUGGCGGGCUUGAAUAUGGAAGAGGGUCGCGGAAUUCCCGGUGUAGAGGUGAAAUUCGUAGAUAUCGGGAGGAGCACCAGUGGCGAAGGCGGCGACCUGGGCCAAUAUUGACGCUGAGGUGCGAAAGCGUGGGGAGCAAACAGG